rnacentral:rRNA from 1 species
AUGGCUAGCUUAGCUAACUUAUCCCCGGGCGGAUUAGAGAGGUGUCCGUCCGUCCACCGAGAAAUGGACGACGGACGGACGGACUGUAUAUCUAGUAUCUCGGCAGGGACAAACUCUCAAUGCUGCUGCUGCUGCUGCUGCUGGUCGGCGUCUGAGAGCAUCAUCAUCCUGACGAACUCGUCGAAGUUGACGAGGCCGUCGCCGUCGAGGUCGGCCUCCUGGAUCAUCCCGUCCACCUCGUCGUCGGUGAGCUUCUCGCCGAGGCUGAUCAUGACGUGGCGCAGCUCGGCCUUGGAGAUGUGGCCGUCGUGGUCCUUGUCGAACACCCUGAAGGCCUCCCGGAGCUCCUCCUCUGGGUCGGCGGCGUCGGCGUCGGCGUCGGCCUUGCGGGACAUGAGCGCCAGGAACUCGGCGAACUCGAUGGUGCCGUUGCCGUCGGCGUCCACGUCGCGCACCAUGUCGCGCAGCUCCUCGGGCGUCGGGGACUGGCCCAGGGAGCGGAUGACCGUGGACAGCUCCUCCGCCGUGAUGCAGCCGUCGCCGUCCUUGUCGAAGAAGGCGAAGGCCUCCCGGAACUCGCUCAUCUGCUCCGAACUGAUCGCUGCUGCACCGGCGCCGGCCAUCCUGCUACCUCUUCUUCGAUGCUUGCACGGAGAUGGUCGAUGUGGGUGGGUGGGUUGGAGAAGGAAUGAAGCUGAAGGUGCGAUUAACUUGGAUGGGUUCAAGGAUUGUGAGGCGGGGGAUUUAUAUAGGAGGCGGAUGGGAAGCAGAGGCACGAACGGUCAUGUCGGAGAUCUGAACGCGGGAGCGAGAAGCUGUGUGGCUGCCGUUGACUUGUCUGUCCCACACGCGCACGCAUUAAUUCCAGUCCCGCCUUCAAUCCUCCUAGGCUGGCCAAGGCAAAGCCAAGUCAAAGGAGAUCGGUCGAUGCAGAUCAGCGCCCCACCGCACGCACGCACGCGUUCCCAAAUGCAAAAUCUAAACAGUUUUAAAGAGGAGGAAGAUGGAUUCUUCCUUCUUCUAAAAGUGCAAAAUCGAUCUGCACGUACGGGAAACGGAACAAAGCGCAAAGGCAAAAAAAUGCUUGCAAUUUGA